rnacentral:rRNA from 1 species
CCUACGUGCGGCUGCAGUCGAGAAUCAUUCACAAUGGGGGAAACCCUGAUGGUGCGACGCCGCGUGGGGGAAUGAAGGUCUUCGGAUUGUAAACCCCUGUCAUGUGGGAGCAAAUUAAAACGAUAGUACCACACUAGGAAGAGACGGCUAACUCUGUGCCAGCAGCCGCGGUAAUAACGAGGUCUCAAGCGUUGUUCGGAAUCACUGGGCGUAAGGCGCUCGUAGGCGGUAUGUCAAGUCAAGGGUGAAAUCCCCGCGCUCAACGUGGGAACUGCCUUUGAAACUGGCAAACGGGAGGGUGUGAGAGGAUAGGGGAAUUCCAGGGGUAGGAGUGAAAUCCGUAGAUAUCUGGAGGAACAUCAGUGGCGAAGGCGACUAGCUGGCACAUAACUGACGCUGAGGAGCGAAAGCGUGGGUAGCAAACAGGAUUAGAUACCCUUGUAGUC